rnacentral:rRNA from 1 species
GCUGUCUGCAAUGUAUGUGGGAACGGCGAUGAGGACGAACACCAUGCAGUAAUCAUGUGCACAAAGAGUGCAGCCCUACGGUAUGCUAUGAGAGAUCAGUGGGAGUUACCCUCGGAAAAUUCUUUCCGGAAUACCGGCUGUGACUGGCUGUAGGUUCUUUUAAGCUCGGUGACGGAGGACAUGAGAUCAAAGAUACUGCUUCUUCUAUGGAGAUGCUGGCACCUGCGAGAUAAUUGUGUGCAUGGGGACGGCAAAGAAACGAUUGGGAGAUCAGUGCAAUACUUGUCUAAACUGUUGGAGGAAUGA